AGUCAUCAACCCCUUCCGUUUAGUGCGGACCGGGUUGGAUGUGGGGGCUCUGCUGCCGCGAGGCGGCUCCCCUCAAAUGCAUCGGUUGGGCCUGUGGGUCGAACUCGACUGGGCGUUGUACCAUCCUCGCUCGACAGAGACGUUCCCCUAUUGCGCCCUUCCCCGACCUGCCUCUCAGAGUGGCGGUCACAAGCAAAGCUUUGAAAU
rnacentral:misc_RNA from 1 species